GCCAGCCUCAGCAGUUUAUGGAGCCGCUAAGCAACUCUGUCUCUAAAUAAAUCACAAAACAGGGCUGGGGGUGUGGCUCAAGUGCCCCUGGGUUCAAUCCCUGGUACCCUUCCUCCAAAAGAAAAAGAAAACCCAGGGGACUUAGCAGGACCAGCUACUAUCACCCAUAGGAACCUCCAAUAGUUCACUUCACAUGACAGGCACUGUAGGCUGUCCCCAAAUGUCUUAUCCUCAUUAGUUCUUUGAACUUACUGUAGUUAAUGAACCUGCCACGGGUCUUAUUAUUAUUUUUUAAUCUUUUAUUGAUUUUAUUUUUUUAAAUACAAGACAGCAGUGGAAUGCAUUACAAUUCUUAUUAUACAUAUAGAGCACCAUUUUUCAUAUCUCUGUAUAUAAAGUAUGUUCACACCAAUUCAUGCCUUUAUACAUCAUGUACUUUGGGUUUUUUUGCAUUACAAUCCUUAAUACACAUAUAUACCACAAUUUUUCAUAUCUCUGUUUGUAUAUAAAGUAAGUUGACACCCAAUUCAAGUCUUCAUACAUGUACUUUGUAUAACGAUGUCCAUCACAUUCCACCAUCCUUGCUAAUCCCCUGCCCCCUCCCUUUCCCUCCCACUCCUCUUCCCUAUCUAGAGUUCGUCUAUUCCUCCCAUGCUCCCCCUCCCUACCCCACUAUAAGUCAGCCUCCUUAUAUCAAAGAAAACAUUCAGCAUUUGUUUUUUUGGGAUUGGCUAAAUUCACUUAGCAUUAUCUUCUCCAACGCCAUCCAUUUACCUGCAAAUGCCAUGGUUUUGUUCUUUUUGAAUGCUGAGUAAAAUUCCAUUGUGUAUAUAUGCCACAUUUUUUUUAUCCAUUCAUCCACUGAAGGACAUCUAGGUUGGCUCCACAGUUUAGCUAUUGUGAAUUGUGCUGCUAUAAGCAUUGAUGUGGCUGUGUCCCUGUAGUAUGCUGUUUUUAAGUCUAGGUCUUAUUAUUUAAUGCAUUAUAAGUACUGUCAUAAAUUUGAAUUAAAUUUUUCUUUGGUAAUGGUAUUUCAUUAUCUUCAGCUUCCCUUCUAAGAUUGUUUUCCUGAGAAAGGCUUCAUCAGCUUCCCAGAUUUCUAAAGAUACAAGUGAGUCAAGACCCCUGAUCUAAGCUAAAUAUCCAUAAUGUGAUAGAGGGGAAAAGUCACUAAAAGGUCUUGAUCCAUGUCAGGAACUUUUAUGUACAUUGCCUCAUUUACUUCUUAAAAUUGCAAGAUGAAUACUAUUAUUAUUCCCAAGUUACAAUUAAGGAAAUUCAGACUCACAGAGGUGAAGUUCAUCUAGCCAGUGAGUGGAAAACCAGGUGUUCAAACCCAGUCUCUGUUAUCUCACCAAAUCAAACUGAGUCGUAUGUCACAACCUAAAUGCCAGCCAUUGUUAUACCAGAUUCGUGGGACCCCAAUAGACCUCCAGGAGCCAAAUCCGAUGCAAUCACACAAGAGUCUUUAUUGCAAGCUCGAGUUUCUCACCAUCAGCUCUGCCCCUCUGUAUUUGCACAGUAUCGCAGCCAGGUGAAUCUGUCCACUUGGUAUUAGUUGAGAGUCCAGAGGCUGGAACUAGAUCCUUGAGAUGCAAAUCCCUAGGUCAAUUCUUUAAUCUCCCUGUGCCUUAGUUUCCUUGUCUAUAACAUAGGCAUGGUGGUGAUAAG
rnacentral:lncRNA from 1 species